UGGUGAGUAAAUAUGAGCUUCGGAAC
rnacentral:piRNA from 1 species